rnacentral:RNase_P_RNA from 1 species
UAAGUGUUCCGGCUCUGCCGCUGGUAUCUUUUGGAUGCGAGAGGAAAGUCCGGGCAACACAGGACGCUCCACUUCUGAAACUAGAAGCUAUUGGUGACAGUAGGUGUCGGUAGAAGAGAAUAACCGCCCGCAAGGGUAAGGGUGAGAAGGUGGUGUAAGAGACCACCAGCUGAUGGGUGAUCAUCAGGCUGUACCAUCUGGAGGUUGCAAGUUCGCGUAUACCAUUGUUUGAAGGUUGUCCGCCUAAACGUUCGCGUACAAUGGAGGGUAGAAUGCUAGAGUUGGAGGGCGACUUCCAAAGUAGAUAAAUGGCAGAGCGCCAACAUCGUUGGUUACAGAACCCGGCUUAUAGGAACACUUCUUAU